rnacentral:sRNA from 1 species
AAACCGGUUCAUUACCGAGUUUACAACUCCCAAACCCCUGUGAACAUACCAAUUGUUGCCUCGGCGGAUCAGCCCGCUCCCGGUAAAACGGGACGGCCCGCCAGAGGACCCCUAAACUCUGUUUCUAUAUGUAACUUCUGAGUAAAACCAUAAAUAAAUCAAAACUUCAACAACGGAUCUCUUGGUUCUGGCAUCGAUGAAGAACGCAGCAAAAUGCGAUAAGUAAUGUGAAUUGCAGAAUUCAGUGAAUCAUCGAAUCUGAACGCACAUUGCGCCCGCCAGUAUUCUGGCGGGCAUGCCUGUUCGAGCGUCAUUUCAACCCUCAAGCCCCCGGGUUUGGUGUUGGGGAUCGGCGGCAGCCGGCCCCGAAAUCUAGUGGCGGUCUCGCUGCAGCUUCCAUUGCGUAGUAGUAAAACCCUCGCAACUGGUACGCGGCGCGGCCAAGCCGUUAAAC